rnacentral:rRNA from 1 species
UACGUAGGUGGCAAGCGUUAUCCGGAAUUAUUGGGCGUAAAGAGCACGCAGGUGGUUGAUUAAGUCUGAUGUGAAAGCCCACGGCUUAACCGUGGAGGGUCAUUGGAAACUGGUCGACUUGAGUGCAGAAGAGGGAAGUGGAAUUCCAUGUGUAGCGGUGAAAUGCGUAGAGAUAUGGAGGAACACCAGUGGCGAAGGCGGCUUCCUGGUCUGUAACUGACACUGAGGCGCGAAAGCGUGGGGAGCAAACAGGAUUAGAUA